rnacentral:rRNA from 1 species
AAUGAACGCUGGCGGCAGGCCUAACACAUGCAAGUCGAACGAAUGGAGAACGGGUGGGUAAUGUCUGGGAAACUGCCUGAUGGAGGGGGAUAACUACUGGAAACGGUAGCUAAUACCGCAUACCAUCAGAUGUGCCCAGAGUGGAUUAGCGUGUUGGUGGGGUAACGGCUCACCAAGGCGACGAUCCCUAGCUGGUCUGAGAGGCUGACCAGCCACACUGGAACUGAGACACGGUCCAGACUCCUACGGGAGGCAGCAGUGGGGAAUAUUGCACAAUGGGCGCAAGCCUGAUGCAGCAAUGCCGCGUGUAUGAAGAAGGCCUUCGGAUUGUAAAGUACUUUCAGCGGGGAGGCGUUACCCGCAGAGGAAGUAACGGCUAACUCCGUGCCAGCAGCCGCGGUAAUAC